rnacentral:rRNA from 1 species
GCUCGUGGCGGGCCUAAUACAUGCAAGUCGAGCGAACGGACGAGAAGCUUGCUUCUCUGAUGUUAGCGGCGGACGGGUGAUUAACACGUGGAUAACCUACCUAUAAGACUGGGAUAACUUCGGGAAACCGGAGCUAAUACCGGAUAAUAUUUUGAACCGCAUGGUUCAAAAGUGAAAGACGGUCUUGCUGUCACUUAUAGAUGGAUCCGCGCUGCAUUAGCUAGUUGGUAAGGUAACGGCUUACCAAGGCAACGAUGCAUAGCCGACCUGAGAGGGUGAUCGGCCACACUGGAACUGAGACACGGUCCAGACUCCUACGGGAGGCAGCAGUAGGGAAUCUUCCGCAAUGGGCGAAAGCCUGACGGAGCAACGCCGCGUGAGUGAUGAAGGUCUUCGGAUCGUAAAACUCUGUUAUUAGGGAAGAACAUAUGUGUAAGUAACUGUGCACAUCUUGACGGUACCUAAUCAGAAAGCCACGGCUAACUACGUGCCAGCAGCCGCGGUAAUACGUAGGUGGCAAGCGUUAUCCGGAAUUAUUGGGCGUAAAGCGCGCGUAGGCGGUUUUUUAAGUCUGAUGUGAAAGCCCACGGCUCAACCGUGGAGGGUCAUUGGAAACUGGAAAACUUGAGUGCAGAAGAGGAAAGUGGAAUUCCAUGUGUAGCGGUGAAAUGCGCAGAGAUAUGGAGGAACACCAGUGGCGAAGGCGACUUUCUGGUCUGUAACUGACGCUGAUGUGCGAAAGCGUGGGGAUCAAACAGGAUUAGACACCCUGGUAGUCCACGCCGUAAACGAUGAGUGCUAAGUGUUAGGGGGUUUCCGCCCCUUAGUGCUGCAGCUAACGCAUUAAGCACUCCGCCUGGGGAGUACGACCGCAAGGUUGAAACUCAAAGGAAUUGACGGGGACCCGCACAAGCGGUGGAGCAUGUGGUUUAAUUCGAAGCAACGCGAAGAACCUUACCAAAUCUUGACAUCCUUUGACAACUCUAGAGAUAGAGCUUUCCCCUUCGGGGGACAAAGUGACAGGUGGUGCAUGGUUGUCGUCAGCUCGUGUCGUGAGAUGUUGGGUUAAGUCCCGCAACGAGCGCAACCCUUAAGCUUAGUUGCCAUCAUUAAGUUGGGCACUCUAAGUUGACUGCCGGUGACAAACCGGAGGAAGGUGGGGAUGACGUCAAAUCAUCAUGCCCCUUAUGAUUUGGGCUACACACGUGCUACAAUGGACAAUACAAAGGGCAGCGAGACCGCGAGGUCAAGCAAAUCCCAUAAAGUUGUUCUCAGUUCGGAUUGUAGUCUGCAACUCGACUACAUGAAGCUGGAAUCGCUAGUAAUCGUAGAUCAGCAUGCUACGGUGAAUACGUUCCCGGGUCU